UACAGAGGUGGCAAGCGUUGUUCGGAAUUACUGGGCGUAAAGGGCGCGUAGGCGGCCCACUAAGUCAGACGUGAAAUCCCCCGGCUUAACCUGGGAACUGCGUCUGAUACUGGAGGGCUUGAGUAUGGGAGAGGGAUGUAGAAUUCCAGGUGUAGCGGUGAAAUGCGUAGAUAUCGGGAGGAACACCUGUGGCGAAAGCGGCUCUCUGGACCGUAACUGACGCUGAGACACGAAAGCGUGGGUAGCAAACAGG
rnacentral:rRNA from 1 species